AUUGAACGCUGGCGGCAUGCCUUACACAUGCAAGUCGAACGGCAGCACGGGGCAACCUGGUGGCGAGUGGCGAACGGGUGAGUAAUGCAUCGGAACGUACCUUUCAGUGGGGGAUAACGUAGCGAAAGUUACGCUAAUACCGCAUAUUCUGUGAGCAGGAAAGCAGGGGAUCGCAAGACCUUGCGCUGAUUGAGCGGCCGAUGUCAGAUUAGCUAGUUGGUGAGGUAAAGGCUCACCAAGGCGACGAUCUGUAGCGGGUCUGGGAGGAUGAUCCGCCACACUGGAACUGGGGCACGGUCCAGACUCCUACGGGAGGCAGCAGUGGGGAAUUUUGGACAAUGGGGGCAACCCUGAUCCAGCCAUGCCGCGUGAGUGAAGAAGGCCUUCGGGUUGUAAAGCUCUUUCGGCCGGGAAGAAAUCGCACGGGCUAAUACCCUGUGUGGAUGACGGUACCGGAAUAAGAAGCACCGGCUAACUACGUGCCAGCAGCCGCCGCGGUAA
rnacentral:rRNA from 1 species